AAAUUGAAGAGUUUGAUCAUGGCUCAGAUUGAACGCUGGCGGCAGGCCUAACACAUGCAAGUCGAACGGUAACAGGAAGCAGCUUGCUGCUUCGCUGACGAGUGGCGGACGGGUGAGUAAUGUCUGGGAAACUGCCUGAUGGAGGGGGAUAACUACUGGAAACGGUAGCUAAUACCGCAUAACGUCGAAAGACCAAAGAGGGGGACCUUCGGGCCUCUUGCCAUCGGAUGUGCCCAGAUGGGAUUAGCUAGUAGGUGGGGUAACGGCUCACCUAGGCGACGAUCCCUAGCUGGUCUGAGAGGAUGACCAGCCACA
rnacentral:rRNA from 1 species